rnacentral:tRNA from 1 species
GCAUGCGUCGUCUAGUGGCCAAGGACACUACACCUUUCGCGUGUAGGACGUGGGUUCGAAUCACCACCGGUGUUGGUUACCUUUGCGCA